CUUCACCUGCCUCCUCUAGUUUCUUUUUUGUGAAGAAGAAGGAUGGAGGUCUGCGCCCUUGCCUUGACUGUAGAGGUGUUCUUUACCCGUUUUGUGUUUACCCUAUCCUACAGACCAGGUUCCCAGAAUAAGAAGGCAGACGCACUGUCCCGGCUGUAUGAGAGGCCCAUGGAUCAGACUCCCAUACUCCCAGCCUCCUGCCUGGUAGCGCAGGUCGUGUGGGAUCUGGAUGCAGGCGUUGCGUACAGAUGUACGUUCCGUCUGCUGUCCAUGAUCAGUUGAUCUAUUGGGCCCACAUGUCUCCCUCCUCUGGUCAUCUGGGGAUCGGUCGGACGGUGCUCUGUCUGACUGGGAAGUACUGGUGGCCCACUUUGGCUAAGGAUGUGAGGGUUUAUGUCUCCUCCUGCUCGGUGUGUGCCCAGUGUAAGGCUCCGAGACACCUGCCCAGAGGGAAACACCAUGAUCCUGGUCAUUGUGGAUUGUUUUUCUAAGUCCUGUCGUCUCUUCCCUCUGCCUGGUCUCCCUACGGCCCUACAGACUGCGGAGGCCCUGAUUACACACGUCUUCCGGCACUACGGGGUGCCUGAGGAUAUAGUGUCGGAUCGGGGUCCCCAGUUCACAUCGGGAGUUUGGAAGGCGUUCAUGGAACGCCUGGGGGUCUCGAUCAGCCUUACCUCAGGUUUUCACCCUGAGAGUAACAGGCAGGUAGAGAGAGUUAACCAGGAUGUGGGCAGGCUUCUGCAGUCCUAUUGCCAGGACCGGCCAGGGGAGUGGGCAGGUGGCCAGCGUUUGUGCCCUAAGCCGAGAUGGCACAGAACUUGCUUCGCCACUCCUCCACUAACCUCUCCCCUUUCAGUGUGUAUUGGGGUACCAGUCGGUUCUGGCACCGUGGCAUCAGGGUCAGACCGAGACUCCUGUGGUAGACAACUGGUUUAGGCGCGCGGAGGAGACAUAGGAAGCCGCCUGUGUCCAUCGCCAGAAAGCCAGCGUGGACCGUCACCGCAGUGAGACCCCGGUGUUCGCACCGGGCUCGGGUCCUCCUUUUCCCGUAGUCCACAAUCAUCUCCCUUGUCUUGAUCACAUUGAGGGAGAGGUUGUUAUCCUGGCACCACACUGGCCCCCUCCUUAUAGGCUGUCUCAUCGUUGUCGGUGAUCAUGCCUACCAAUGUUGUGUCGUC
ensembl:lncRNA